AUAACCGCUGAAAGCAUCUAAGCGGGAAGCGAGCCUUGAGAUGAGUUUUCCCUGACGCUAUAAGCGUCCUAAAGGGUUGUCGUAGACUACGACGUUGAUAGGCAGGGUGUGUAAGUGCUGCGAGGCAUUGAGCUAACCUGUACUAAUUGCCCGUGAGGCUUAACCAUACAACACCC
rnacentral:rRNA from 1 species